AUUUCACUGUUAGUCCACACCUGUUGUUAACGAAGCAUGUGACGAAUACAAUUUGAUUUGACUCUUCCAUUCAUAUGAAUUCUCACAGCGAGGGCAUGUCUGCAUGAUGCUAAUGAGGGCCCCCUUGCUGGACUUCUCUAUACUGUAUGUUCAGCUGCAAACAUAAUAUCUCUUCAGCAGGCAAUCUUAUGAGGUGGUGUGGACCGGGAGGGGUCUGUGACCGGGUGAUAUAAUAGACAGCCAAAUGGGCAGUAACUCAAGUCACUAUCAGAGGCCUCAUUAUGGUUUCGACAUCCGUUCAUGACCAGGGGAUCAGUCUGGCACCCAACUGUGCACUUUGUCGAACAGAAAAACAGGGUUAAUGAUUGUCAUCAUGCCUCAAUUAUAAACAUAGCUCGAGAAAUAACAAUAUCUCAUUUGGAAUCUAAUUCUAUGCUUUAGAGAUGUAGACCGACUGGCUCCAGAUUGGAUUAGAUUCAGGUUGGUUUGAGUUUGUUGCUGCUAGUCAGACAUGAGUUAUUUAGUACCACCUUAGCUGAAUCCAAUAUUUAUUUGUGCCCUAGACAUGGGUUGCACCUCGUAGGC